GCCCUCGUAGCUCAGGGGAUAGAGCACCGGCCUCCGGAGCCGGGUGCGCAGGUUCGAAUCCUGCCGAGGGUACCA
rnacentral:tRNA from 2 species